rnacentral:rRNA from 1 species
GAUGAACGCUAGCGGCAGGCUUAACACAUGCAAGUCGAGGGGUAGGUUACUUCGGUAAUUGAGACCGGCGCACGGGUGCGUAACGCGUAUACAAUCUACCUUUUACAGAGGGAUAGCCCAGAGAAAUUUGGAUUAAUACCUCAUAGUAUUUUUGAAUCGCGUGAUUUGAUUAUUAAAGUUCCAACGGUAAAAGAUGAGUAUGCGUCCCAUUAGCUAGAUGGUAAGGUAACGGCUUACCAUGGCUACGAUGGGUAGGGGUCCUGAGAGGGAGAUCCCCCACACUGGUACUGAGACACGGACCAGACUCCUACGGGAGGCAGCAGUGAGGAAUAUUGGACAAUGGGCGCAAGCCUGAUCCAGCCAUGCCGCGUGCAGGAUGACGGUCCUAUGGAUUGUAAACUGCUUUUAUACAGGAAGAAACACUCCGACGUGUCGGAGCUUGACGGUACUGUAAGAAUAAGGAUCGGCUAACUCCGUGCCAGCAGCCGCGGUAAUGU